GACGAACGCUGGCGGCGUGCUUAACACAUGCAAGUCGAACGGAAAGGCCCUGCCUUUGUGGGGUGCUCGAGUGGCGAACGGGUGAGUAACACGUGAGUAACCUGCCCCUGACUUUGGGAUAACCUCAGGAAACUGGGUCUAAUACCGGAUAGGAGCUCCUGCUGCAUGGUGGGGGUUUGAAAGUUUCGGCGGUUGGGGAUGGACUCGCGGCUUAUCAGCUUGUUGGUGAGGUAGUGGCUUACCAAGGCUUUGACGGGUAGCCGGCCUGAGAGGGUGACCGGCCACACUGGGACUGAGAUACGGCCCAGACUCCUACGGGAGGCAGCAGUGGGGAAUAUUGCACAAUGGGCGGAAGCCUGAUGCAGCAACGCCGCGUGCGGGAUGACGGCCUUCGGGUUGUAAACCGCUUUCGCCUGUGACGAAGCGUGAGUGACGGUAAUGGGUAAAGAAGCACCGGCUAACUACGUG
rnacentral:rRNA from 1 species